rfam:Dipodomys ordii contig_39620, whole genome shotgun sequence.
GGUAGUUGGCUCAGUGGUAGAGCGCUUGCCUUGGAAGCAUGAGGCCCUGGGUUUGAUUCCUCAGUACCA